GGAUGUGAGGGCGAUCUGGCUGUGACAUCUGUUACCCCACUGAUCACCAGGGUUGAUUCGGCUGAUCUGGCUGGCUAGGCAGGUGUCCCCUUCCUCCCUCACCACUCCAUUUGUGUCCCUACUGAAGCUGCAUACUCGGUUGAAGAGGAUGACUAUCCCCGACUGAGGAGGAACGAUCUUCAGUCAAGAGUAUAUGAGUAGCUGCAUUCCCCUGCUAGAACAUCUAAAAAGCUCUCAAGUGAAGAAGGUAAGACCAGUCAUCUUAUAAGCAGUAUCACAUAUUGAAAUACCUGUCAAUCCAUAAUACAAGUUACUCAAAAGUAUACAUUU
ensembl:misc_RNA 7SK 7SK RNA